AUGGCCUACGGGGGGCAGCAGUGGGGGAUAUUGCACAAUGGGGGGAACCCUGAUGCAGCGACGCCGCGUGGGUGAAGGAGUGCUUCGGCAUGUAAAGCCCUAUCGGCAGGGAAGAAGCAAGACGGUACCUGACUAAGAAGCCCCGGCUAACUACGUGCCAGCAGCCGCGGUAAUACGUAGGGGGCGAGCGGUAUCCGGAUUCACUGGGGGUAAAGGGAGCGUAGACGGCCAAGCAAGCCAGGGGUGAAAGCCCGGGGCCCAACCCCGGGACUGCCCUUGGAACUGCAUGGCGGGAG
rnacentral:rRNA from 1 species